GCCAGUAGCGCCGGAUUGCGGAGGCGAUAACAACCAUCGAGAACUCUUUAUCGUCUCUGGCUCUCGACCAUUGUGGAAACUGGAAUGUGUCACCAGUUUAUUUUCCCCCUAACAUCAUGGAAGAUGGAUUAUUUGAAAACGUCCAUUAGAAAAAAACUAAGAAACCGCUGGCAAAUACCGAUCCGGCGAACAGUGCUCCAGUGCUCCUCUUUCCCGUUGCCAGGCAACAAUUUCUUCCACGCUGCUCGUCUACUGAAAAGGAGAAUGCGUUGAAUAGUAAAUUGAUGUGCGGAUGAAGACGAUUUCGUGCUAGUCUGGGAUGCAAUAGAUUUAUCUAACCGAAGCCUUUCAAAAUGGCGACGACGUUUCAAAUUGUGAUUGACGUGUCGCCUGUCGCGUUGUCAACAUAUUUUAGGAUUUUUCGUUUUUUCCACGAGAUGGAGUGGAUUUGGGAGAUCUGUAUU